rnacentral:rRNA from 1 species
UGGGGAAUCUUGCGCAAUGGGCGAAAGCCUGACGCAGCAACGCCGCGUGGGGGAUGAAGGCUCUCGGGUUGUAAACCCCUUUCAGCAGGGACGAUUAUGACGGUACCUGCAGAAGAAGGACCGGCCAACUACGUGCCAGCAGCCGCGGUAAUACGUAGGGUCCAAGCGUUGUCCGGAUUUAUUGGGCGUAAAGAGCUCGUAGGCGGCUUAGUAAGUCGGAUGUGAAAACUCGGGGCUCAACCCCGAGACGCCAUCCGAUACUGCUGUGGCUUGAGUCUGGUAGGGGAACACGGAAUUCCUGGUGUAGCGGUGAAAUGCGCAGAUAUCAGGAGGAACACCGAUGGCGAAGGCAGUGUUCUGGGCCAGUACUGACGCUGAGGAGCGAAAGCGUGGGGAGCAAAC